UUGAUAAGCGUGAGGUCGGAGGUUCAAGUCCUCCCAGGCCCACCAAUUUACCUAUCCAUUUGCCUUUAUCCGUUUAUUUGUCGAUUUAUCGGUCCAUUGAAUUUAACUGUUGGUAGCAGUUUUUAUAAUGAUGAGAAAUCAUGCUUAUAAAAGAACUCCUUAUAAAAGGCUUGUUUUUAAAAUGUGACGCUUAUCCAUUUCGCUUAGGCAAGAGAAACUUCAAGCGGUUCAAAUGCAAAAGGCUUUAAAUUUUGCAAAACAAUUUGAAUUUUAAAGUGAUCCAAGUUCGUGAUCUCGAAUUUAAAAGUUUCGAAUGCUUUAUCCUUUUUUGGGGGCCGUAGCUCAGCUGGGAGAGCACCUGCUUUG
rnacentral:misc_RNA from 1 species